AUUGAACGCUGGCGGCAUGCUUUACACAUGCAAGUCGAACGGCAGCACGGGCUUCGGCCUGGUGGCGAGUGGCGAACGGGUGAGUAAUAUAUCGGAACGUACCCAGAAGUGGGGGAUAACGUAGCGAAAGUUACGCUAAUACCGCAUACGAUCUAUGGAUGAAAGCAGGGGACCGCAAGGCCUUGUGCUCCUGGAGCGGCCGAUAUCUGAUUAGCUAGUUGGUGAGGUAAAGGCUCACCAAGGCGACGAUCAGUAGCUGGUCUGAGAGGACGACCAGCCACACUGGAACUGAGACACGGUCCAGAGUCCUACGGGAGGCAGCAGUGGGGAAUUUUGGACAAUGGGCGCAAGCCUGAUCCAGCAAUGCCGCGUGAGUGAAGAAGGCCUUCGGGUUGUAAAGCUCUUUUGUCAGGGAAGAAACGGUAGAGGCUAAUAUCCUUUGCUAAUGACGGUACCUGAAGAAUAAGCACCGGCUAACUACGUG
rnacentral:rRNA from 1 species